CAAGAAAGCUGGAUGUUGGAUGUUGGAUGUUGGAUCGUUGUAGACUCAGUCAUCUCUUGUUGUUUGACGCGUCUUGGUAACUACUGCGUGUGCUGCCCUAUCUGUCCCAGACUGUGGCCUUGAAAAGUUGCUGAAGAAUUCUUCGUGGAUGAAGUGACGGAGUGAUUUAGAAAUUUUAAUCUUGACUAGUAAUUACAGCCAUGGAGAACCCUGAUAAAGAAGUACCUGUUGUGGAGAACGUCACGAAAGAGCUCUUUCUGUCCGAAAUAUACCCUGCCAGAAAACCCGCUAUUCUGCGUGGUAUUGAGCUUGGCGAGGCUGUGCGAACGUGGACUCCCGAAUAUUUGAGUACAACUGUGGGAUCAAGACCUGUGAAAGUGCACGUUUGUCCAUCAGAUAAGAUGGAUUUUGUGAAAAAGAACUUCGCCUACAAGAAUCUUGGAUUCGAUGAGCUUGUGCAGCGUGCAUCUGCCACGGGACCACUGACAGAGUUCUUCUAUUCUGAGAAUGAAAAGUAUUAUCUGCGUGCGCUGGGCGAUGACGCACGUAAGGAUUGUGCUGAUUUCGCUGUGCAGUUUCCAGAAAUUGCCAAUGACUUGCAGCUACCUUGCUAUUUUGACGAUAGUCAGUUCUUUUCCUCGGUCCUCCGCCUUGGUUCACCUGGUAUUCAACUCUGGACGCAUUAUGAUGUGAUGGAUAAUGUACUGGUGCAAGUAAAAGGAAGCAAACGGGUAGUGCUAUUUGCACCGUCUGAUGCACUACAUCUCUACCUGAGCAGCGACAAAUCACCGAUCCUUGACCCACUUGAGCCGGACCUGAAAGCAUAUCCUGACUAUGCACACGCUCAGAGGUGGGUGUGUACGCUGCGUGAGGGCGAAGUGUUGUUUAUGCCGGCACUCUGGUCGCACAAUGUCCUGGCGCUUGACUUUGGCGUGGCUGUCAACGUAUUCUGGCGGCACCUGGACGCGGACAUGUACGAAAAGCGCGACCCGUACGGCAACAAAGACCCAUCCGUUGCCGGCCGGGCGCUGCAAUCACUCGACAAAUCCAUGCAGUCUCUAUCCGCACUUCCAGCCGAGUACCAGCAGUUCUAUGCGCUUAGAAUGAUGGCUCGACUGCGGGAGAAAUUCUGCUCUGCUGAUGCGGACGGGAGUGGAAGCAGUGAAAAGCAAGAGAGUGAGGAGGAUGGGAAGUGACCUGCAAGGUAAAUUUUCUUUGCAGAUCUCCCUACUGAGACUAACUAGUACUUGAGUCAAUGACCAGCUUGCUUUAUUGAGAGAAAGUUUAUUCACAGACUGUGUGACCUGGACUGGCAGAUUUGCUGUUGAAUAGGAAUUUUAUUUUAUUUUAUUUUCUAGGCUAUUUCACAUUUUCACUGCAUGUAUUCACGGAAGCUUUUAUUUCACUCCCACGCCCAGUUGACCCACUCCAAAUCCUUUUCUCUUCUUCUGUUUUGUGUGUUUCUUCUCAUUCCAGCUUUUGUAGACUCUGCUUUCAAAUUCAAGGCGUUCUUUCAGUUAUCCCUACAGCCCGCUCUGUGCACCCCUGGCCUUGCUACUUUGCUGGGUUUGUGCAGUAAUACGUACUUCAGUGCAACAGUCACAGGAGCAAGGCUAAUUUGUUGCAAUUCCAAGUUUCAUGCUCAAUGCAAUCAGCACGUGACGCCCGUCUUUCAUUCUU